CUUGCUAUGAUGAGAUAAAGAACACAGGAGUGUUCUGUAGGCAGUGGACAUGAUCAAAUGGUCUUGCUGUGAGCCUUUCAAAUAAACGACUUCUCCUUCUACUAAGCAUU
rnacentral:snoRNA from 1 species